ensembl:lncRNA
CCAGGCUGAAGCAAGCAGUUUGUUUUUACCCGGAUUAAACUCCGGUUUAAUCCGGUUUAUCUUUUGAACAUUUACUUUUGCCCCUUUUUGCUCCUAAAGGCAAAAACUGCCUGGCCCUUGUGUUUUACGGGCAUUUUUGAGUUCUGUAAUCUAAUAAACUCUGUUACUUUGAAUCUUGUGGCGUUCUGUCCUUGACAGUGUGUGUAUACACACACACACACACAUACAGUCUUCCUGCCUUUAGUAUUAGGGGUAAUAUAUUGCAAUCAUCUCUAGUAGUCACUGAUAGCUUUAUCCUCCAUGAAUUUGAUUAAUCCUGUUUCAAAACUGUUCACAUUGUGGUCAUCACUGUGGUAGCACUGCAUGACUGUUUCCAUUUCAGGGGGAUCCAGGAGACCCAGGAGAGGAUGGGAUGAAAGGUGUGAAAGGAGAAGCCGGUUUACCUGGGCUGACAGGAGAACGGGGAAUUGAAGGUCCCAGAGGUCUCCCUGGAGUUCGUGGUGACACUGGAGAUCGAGGCCCAGUAGGAGAGAAGGUAGGAAGCUUUCACUUAAAGUCAUAUGCCAGAAAAUGUGGGGAAAGAAAGGGCAGAGUAAUGGAAAGAACCAUGGAACUAUACUGAUUGAGUAUAUCAAGUUGUCUAUAUGGUAUUCUUGUAUAAAUGCAAGGUUUGUUACCUAAUGCAAAAUUUUGGUAUGUAUUUUGAAAAAUGUAAGCCCCUGCAACAUGAAUAUAGGGGCAUGCAUGUGACUUUAGACAGCGAAUGGGUGUGGGAUGGAUGCCUGUAUAAGGAACAUUAGCUUGAAGGAAUUUGAUGAAAAUGCUAAUCUAAUGUAAUAUCUGUGACUAUUUGCAUACAAUUUUAAAUCAAAUUUGUGAAUAAUCCAAUCUGUGAAAAUCAGAACCACAAAUGAGGAGGGACAACUAUAUGUCCAUUGUAAUGAAAUAUUGUAAAAUAAUAUUAAGGUGCUUCUCAUUCUCCCAGGAGUGUCUGAGGGACUAACAUUUCUGCUGAAGGGUAUUUCAGCAAAGAAAAUUUCCAGCAAGGAUCUAUUUAAGCAGAUAGAGUUGGCAGGAUUAAGAGCAGGGAUUCAAGCAAGAAGAGAUGGAAGGUGGAGUAGGAAUAUUUGAAAAUAACCAACGACAUUUUUGUUAAAGGGAGUUGAGCAAAGAGAGAAUCAAUUGAAUGGAGAUGAGCAAUGAGUAUUUAAACAGGGAUUCACCCAAAAGGGGACAUAAGGAAGGGUGAGAGCAUUUGGAGAGGCUUAAAGGUUCGAAAAUGCUUCUGAAGUUAUCAACUUUUUAUUUUUUUAUUAUGGUUCUUGUCUCAAAACUUUUGAUUAUUUUGUUGCAAAAUAUUGGAUUGUUUUUGUUUUCAAAUGUUGUCUAGAUCUUUCAUACUUUUUAUUUGACAUCUCCCAAAGAUGCAAAACAUAAAGUCCUCUCUUCUUUACUUUCAAAUUUUCCUUUAGGGUGACCGAGGCCCUCCAGGUUUAGAUGGUCGGAAUGGGCAAGAUGGAAAGCCUGGGCAAACGGGUCCUGCAGGCCAAAGGGUAAGAAUGAAGGAUAACUGUGUAUGACCAUGACAGAUUUGAGCUAAAUCAGUGCCACUUUAUUUUUAAGUCUAGCCAAUUAUUCUGGCGAGUUUCUGCCAAGAUACUACAUGGAACAAUUGAGCAACUACACUGGACACUACAAGUGCCCCAGUCUUGCAGCUGGAAGGCUUCCUUGUUUUCUAGUUUCAUGAGCAUUCAAAGCAAACAUACUAGUAUACCAUAAUGUUUCUUGCAUUUGUUAUUACAGCAAUUGGGUUGUUCUUUAGCAAAUGUUGCCUGAAGUCACCUUGCUGCAGUUGUAAGUUGCAUAGUUCUUAUAUCCGUUUAAGACACUGCUGGAUGACACAGGCUGGAUUUGCAGGCAUAAGUGAAACUCACUUUGUAUUAGUUUGAACACCUGAGUCUAAACACAAGAUCUGAACACUUACGAUGCCUUCCCCUUGAGAGUCCAAUUUUUUAAAAUUAUGAUUUUGUGUAGUAUUUUAUUGUGUGAGUCUUCGUGUCUCUGAAAAUAAUUCUCUUGUGCUGCCAUGACCGUAAGAAGCACAACGCUUACAUACAUGCCAUUGGAGACUGCAACUACAGUGAGGCAGGCCUGAGAACAGGGAAAUGUCUGAUUUCUGAUCAGAUUUUGAUUGUUAUUAAGUCAACAAUAAGACUUUAUCUGGUUUUGAUUUCUAUUUGACAGAACUGACACUGAAACUAUGAAUAGGAAUAGUUUUUCCAUAAUACCUUUGUAAGUGUUGCUGAGUGUAUUCCUUUAUGUUAAGAACCAUACUGCUGUAGUUAAAGUGAAUACAGGUAGUGGAUACCUAAAGUAAAGUAUUAAUUGUAAUAUAUACUAUUAGUAAACGUAAGAGAUUCUAGAGGGCUAUGAUCUACCACUGUUUCUAAUCAAAUCCAAUUUAGAUUGAUAUUAAUAAGAUACCAUAAUCCCCUUCUUUGGCAGCUUGUAUAACAAGUGCCACUAAAAGUUAUUUAUAUAGAAGAUAAUAUUACAUUACUAACAUAGUACAGUAGAGUCUCACUUAUCCAACAUAAACGGGCCGGCAAAAUGUUGGAUAAGCAAAUAUGUUGGAUAAUAAGGAGGCAUUAAGUAAAAGCCUAUUAAACAUUGAAUUAGGUUAUGAUUUUAUAAAUUAAGCACCAAAACAUCAUGUUAUACAACAAAUUUGACAGAAAAAGUAGUUCAAUACGUAGUAAUGCUAUGUAGUAAUUACUGUAUUUAUAAAUUUAGCACCAAAAUAUCACAAUGUAUUGAAAACAUUGACUACAAAAAUGCGUUGGAUAAUCCAGAACGUUGGAUAAGCGAGUGUUGGAUAAGUGAGACUCUACUGUACUCACACAUUACAUACCAUACUUUCCUUUUUAUGUUUCACUGAUUUCUGAUCAGGCCUAUGUAUUCUUCUCUUUCCUUAGGGUGACCAAGGGAAGCAGGGUGACCCUGGCCGAGAUGUAAGUAUGAGAGCCCUCCAAUAUGAAGUGACCUCUUCCCCUCCAAUGUUGUUUUAGGAUUCGAGCUCUACUUGGAAAUUUACAUUUUUCAGUGUUGUGCUGGCACAACCUUCAUUGUUUGAACUACUCCUGGGUAUCAUUAAAAGAAUUUAUGUUAGUAAUUUGAAGGUGUUAUGUUAACUGUUGAAAAACCUGGAUGGGAUGGAGUUGAUUUCACUCUCUUUUUCUUUGAGUUGAUUUCUCUAGAAAGUCUACCAGAAGACAAAUUAUCAAUUUGUAUUGCUCAUGCUAUUUUCCAUGACUCUUCUUUCUAUACUAACAUUAUAUUUGGUACUGCUUAAUCUCAGUUACCAAACAUUUCUCUAAGAGGGUUUUAAUGUGUUGUGCAAUUUUGUUGCUUUUUGAUAUUGCCUUUAAUGAACUUUAAAUGGUUUCAACUGUAUAGAUUAUUUUAUUGUUUUUAAAAUGAUGUGUCUGAGUGUAACUGAUGUCUAUGUUUCUAAUUUAAGAUGGUAGUAUUUUGUAAGCUCACUUGAGUCUCAUUAUUGGGGAAAAGGUGAGAUAUAAAUGAGUAAAAUAGUAGCAGCAUCAGGAAGUUGUUUUUUCUUUGCAUGUGGCAAAGGAGACUUCCAGUUUUGGGUUAUCUUCUGUCAGUGCCUAAGCUAGGCAAGAGUCUUGUGAUGGAAAGAACGAAAUUAUGGGCUUAUACUCCAGCUCACCCUUCUCAGUAUUUCCCCUUGCCUUUGUCCAGCUAGUUCUCUUUCAUGCCUCUCUGUACUCAACUAUUAUAUUAUAUUAUACAUUUCUCCUUCUAGCAAGCGAUUUUCUCUUUACCUGCUUUAUAUCUUCUCCCCUUCAUCCAACACUCUUUCUAUCUACUUUGGUUCUAAGGGGAAAACUUUAGGAAAAUCUGUUAAAGCCUUUAUACUCAAACACAAGUCUUCUUCCUGGGAUGUUCUCAUGGUGAAGAGGAGCCAUGUGAUUUAUAUUGCCACUCUUGAAGCCAUCCAAACCUAGACUGCUGUUUUACUUUGAAGCACAUCUAAGGUUCCCAGAACAUCCUCAGUUAAGAAUUUUCCUUCUCCGCAUACAUAGCUUCCUUUCCAUCAUAAAGAAGCACACAGCUAUCCAGGUUAAUUUCCAGAUUCUUUACUAUUUUCCUGGCUUCCCAGCCGCCAUGUCACCAUUAUGCAAUUUUUCCCAUCUCAUCUUUAGGCUGCUCAGGGAAAUCUGGCAAGGAAAAACACAAAUAGUUAAAGCUCCUAAGUGAUCCCAGAGACCCAAAAUCCUACAACUCUCCCACCAGUGCUUAUAUUUUCCUCCUUCUACAUAAUUUCUUCUCUCAAGGCCCACAUCUACUCAGACCUGACUUGGUAGCACUGAGUUGCUUUGAAGCUGUGCACAGCCUGUCCUUAAAUAUAGGCUGUUGACCAAAACUGGUUGCUACCAUACUACUUUGGCCUCUUGCUGCUCUUGAAAUAUACACAUUCUCAUGAAAAGCAUUUUCAUGCUGGUGCUACAUAAAGGUAAUUAACUACAAAAAAAAUCCAAGCUACAGGGCCUCC